AGAGAGAGACAUGCGCGCAUAUCAAUAAGCGGAGGAAAAGAAACUAACAAGGAUUCCCUUAGUAACGGCGAGUGAAGCGGGAAGAGCUCAAAUUUGAAAUCUUCAAGGGUUUACCUUUACGAAUUGUAGUUUAAAGAAGUGUUUUCUGUUGGAUGUUUUGGUAGAAGUUCUUUGGAAUAGGACAUCAUAGAGGGUGAGAAUCCCGUAUUUGAUCACUACUUCCUAGCGUUGUGAUACACUUUCAACGAGUCGGAUUGUUUGGGAAUGCAGUCCAAAAUGGGUGGUAAAUUUCAUCUAAAGCUAAAUAUUGGCGAGAGACCGAUAGCGAACAAGUACCGUAAGGGAAAGAUGAAAAGAACUUUGAAAAGAGAGUUAAACAGUACGUGAAAUUGUCAAAAGGGAAGCGUUUGACACCAGUGUUGUUUUUCCGAAAAUCAAUUACGAAUGUUUUGUUUUUGAGGAGUUAUGACUUCAUCGGCUUGCUCCUUUCUUUACGAAACUUUCUUAAUGCACUUUUCGGUUAACAAGUCAACAUCAAUUUCUUUUGUUGUAAAAGGGUAUGAGGAAGGUGGCUUUCUUUUCGGAGAAAGUGUUUAUAGCCUUGUACCUCUGCAAUCGGAGAGAUUGAGGUCUGCAGCGUAGAUCCUUCGGGGCUAGAUACAUUUGUGCUAAGUUAUAGCUUUUCAUAGACAACUUGCUGACUAUGUUUAGUCUUGUAGCUUACUCGCUUACUGCUAUUUUACCUACGCUUAGGAUGUUGAUAGUCACGAGCGUGUAC
rnacentral:rRNA from 1 species